AGGAUAAUAGUUAAAAUUAACAUUUAAUUUGCAUUUAAAAAAAAUUGAAUAUUCAAUUUAUCUUA
rnacentral:tRNA from 1 species